AUGAGAAUGGCGCAGUGACCAUGGACAAGAGAGGAACAGAAGAGUAAGAAAGAAAGUCAUACACAUCUGGGAUGGCAUGGGGCGGGCGAGCAACUCCUCCCUUUCUUUGCGACUGAUGUGAUAAGGGUCUCCAGCCUGGAAGGUCUCUCUCUGUACGGGUUGUCUCCUCAGAUUGAUGUCCCAGCCUUGUCGGGCCCUCUGACGGCCUCCAUCACUC